rnacentral:tRNA from 1 species
GGAGGGGUGGCGCAGUUGAGUUAGCGCGUAGGUCUCAUAUACUCGUAUGACUUGGGGACAUCCUAAGGUCGUGGGUUCGAACCCCUCUCUCUCGCA